ensembl:lncRNA
GCUACUUGGACACUACAGUUUGAUGUCCGAUCACGUGGCCUUCCUUCCCAAUCACUUAUUGAAGUAUAAUAUAGGGGAGGAUCAGCAGAUUAAUGAAAACUCACCGCAGGAAACAAGCACAGCCACGUGACUUAGGUUGCUUUGUAGAAAUCCAUUUAAGUUCAGUGAUCAAAUUUCAGACACGUCAGACUUUCUUAAUUCAAACGUUUGCUGCGUAAUUUGCUUCAUCGUUCAGUAAGCAGACCGGAUUCACAUGAAAUACUCGAGCUCGUGAGCAGCGUGUUUUCCACGCGCCCUUUAUCAUCAAAAUGGAGGAUCUCCAUUGAGGAGAACGGAAGGAACCAAGAUUUCCCUUGUGACCUUAGUGUAAACAUGAAGAGAAGAAAAGAAAAGCAAAGCAAGCAGUAGAAGGCCCUCUCUCCAAGCGCCUCCUCAUUGUUGAAGAUGAUCAACUUCUCGGAAACUUCGGCAGGAUUUCGUGCUGUGGCGUCGUAUUUGACAACUAUUAAGAAAAUAAAAUUAAAAGCUGAGAAACCAGUACAGUCCUACCGCCUAAAGUUAUGUUAGAUGGAGAGUGUGACCUCGUGCAAAUCGUUGUGUUGUUUUUAAGUUGCAGGUGGCCUUCAACACAACGUGUUUAAAGGGGGAGGGGAGUUACAAUUAAACACAAGACUUGUUGGUGUAAAAAAAAAAAUUUGAACGACAAAAGUGUAGCCUACUAAACACACAAAGUCUUCAAACAGACUUGUGUCCAAAUAUCCGCAUGUACGCUACUACACUAGUGUGUUUAAAAUAGUGUAGAUAGCAUUCUGACAAGGCUGGUACUGAGCAGCUUCCUGAAAUAUCCAGGAUUUGACUGACUGAAUUUGUCCAAAGUUAGGGAAUGUUGCUGUGAAUCCACUUUGGGUCCCCAGUA